rnacentral:rRNA from 1 species
GACGAACGCUGGCGGCGUGCUUAACACAUGCAAGUCGAACGGAAAGGCCCUGCUGUUGUGUGGUGCUCGUGUGGCGAACGGGUGAGUAACCAGUGAGUAACCUGCCCUGGACUUUGGGAUAACUUCGUGAAGUGGGGGCAAAUACCGGGUAGCAGCUCCACCAGCCUGGUGGGGGUGGAAACAUUUCGUCGGUUGGGGAUGGGGCUGCGGCUACUCAGCUUGUGGGGGGGGCAGUGUCUUCCCAAGGCUUCGACGGGUGGCGGGCCGGAGAGGGUGACCGGGCACCUUGGGACUGAAGUAAGGCCCAGACUCCUACGGGAGGGAGCAGUGGGAGAUAUUGCACGAUGGGGGGAAGCCUGAUGAAGCAACGACGCGUGCGGGAUGAAGGCCUUCGGGUUGUAACCCGCUUUGGCCUGUGACGAAGCGUGAGUGGCGGUAAUGGGUAAAGAAGCACCGGCUAAGUACGUG